rnacentral:lncRNA from 1 species
UGUUUGGUGCUAUGCCCACCGCUCCCAAUAAUGAUGAUGAUAUUUUUGGAUCAUUCUCUUCCUCUACCAAUCAAUACCCUCCCGUUGAUGAUUUGUUGGCUGGAUUUGGUGCUCUUAAAUCCCAGACCUUCAACCUCAACAAUUCAUCCGCUUCUGAUGAAUUGAUUCCUGGUUUUGGUUUUGGUACUUCUCACAGGUUUGUAUGAGAUUCUCAUCUUUGGGAUGUGCUAAUCUCUUGUGAUUUGGUAUUUUGGAAUUUUAGAUCACCUUUGGAGAUGAAAUCGUUUAUUUAGUGUUUUUUUGUUUGUUGUUGACUUUUCAGCAAGACUACGGCAUCCAACUUUGUUGAUACUGACCCUUUUGUGGUUCUGGAAUCAACUAUGUCCGGCGCACAUUCUUCUUCCGGUAUCUUCGUGGAUCCACUGGAUGCAUUUGCUGCUUCCGUCAGCUCUCAGGGGCAAAAACCAUCUAAUAAUACCACACAUUCUUCUACAAAGCUCAAGCCUCCCCCUAAACCAACGCAAAAAGUGAACAGAGGUUAGUGUCUCUUUGAUGUUGAGUAUUUAUUUCACUGGUAUCUAAUUAGUCUGAGGGAUUAUUUGCACAGCUAAAAGUUCUGUGAUGUCUUCAGUAGACGAACUUGACGACUUUGCCAUGGGUGGUACCAUGCGCCGUAGUGCCUCGGCCUCUGACGCUGCUAGUAAAUAUAGAGAAGCUCAAGAGACGAAACAGUUUGGUGUUGAUGACCUUGACUCCUUUUUCAGCUCUGGGCCUCGCUCCAGCAGUGUGCCCAAAUCUCGGACAGCAACUGAAGUAAGAACGACUUUUGAAAUAUUUCUAUAUUCCAUUUUUUUCAUAUAAAGAAAAAUGUGUCCUUAUUCUGUCUUUCUGAUGCAAAGGCACCUCGCAAGCCAGCAGUCAACGUCCCAAAAAAGACGACUAAUGGGGUUUCUAGUGCAAAGAAGCCUCCUGCUCCAGCAGCAAAUCUGGUGGAUGACUUUUCUGCGCUUUUUGGAGGUAUGUCUUGUGAAAACAUGUCUUUUCCAGCAAUUGGUUGCUUUCUUAGAAAUGUUUCUCUGUUUACAGAGGAUCCUCCUACUCGCUAAAAGCUUACUCUGUUGUUUGAUUUGUUUUGUGUUGCAGUUUCUUGUUCUCUGCUGGGCUGUUAUACGAGAUGAGCAAGAUCUCAGGAUACAUGCUCGGCAGGGCUGAGUCCAACAAAUCUAAAAGGCACUGAAUCAGAGAAGGGGAUUAUUAAUAAGUUAGAUGAUGUUCUCGAAUUUGAUAUAUGGUUUAGCACUUUAAAAGUCUCGAGGAUACUUUACAACUAUUAAAAUUAGGCUUUUCCGCGCAUCUUAUGUUUGACUUGGUCGAUAUCGCAGUUGUGUGUUAUGACUUUGUGUUCUGCGUUCUUAUAGAAACUAAGACAAAUGGUCAGAUCCAAUGCCCAUAUCUCUAUAAAAUUAGGCCUGUAAACCCCAAAAUGGUGAAAUAAAAUAGACAUAGACAUAUGUAAUUUGAAAUUAUAAAAUAUUGGGGUAUUAUGAGUCGACCAAAAAAAAUUAUGAUAAAUAUAGUAAGAAUAUUAAGAGCUUUUCAAGUUCAUGCCAAACGAAGUUGUAAAUGUUUGUAGGUGUGGUUUGGUACAUGUGAAGUUUGGGUUUCUUUUAGCCUAAAUAUUCUCAUUAGCUAGGAAGCUGAUUAAUAUAUACAUUGCUGAAGUCUGACUAUUCUGGGUGGUAUGGUAUCUCCAAAAUUCUAAAAAAAAAUAUGUAUUAAAGAAUGUAUGCGCCUUAAAAAAUUAAACCAAGCCAACUAAUGAUAUACAGAGUAGACAGGGUGUACCAAUUUAUGUGUUCUGUAAUGUGACUGCAAUAAUCACAAUUUAAGCUAAAAUAAAACUUACAAAAUUAAAAUGAUUUAUUUUAGUGGAAUCUUUUUGUGUGUUUGAAAAAAAGAAGAAAAUAGUAUGAGAUGGGAUAUAAAAAGGGGAAAGUGGGAAUUUAAAAAAAAGGAAAGCCAUCUGUCUCGGACCCCACACCAACCCAUUCCAUUGAUUCAUUUGUGUCUGUGUGUGUGGGUAAUCAAUCAAUCGUCAUCGUCGUCGGUGCCUUCCUUGUCAGAUUUUUAUUUGUAGAGAGAGAAAUUAGGAGACGACGAUUGUUUUCUUUCCAUCUUUCUACAUUCUCUCCGUUAAUCCAUUAUUCAGAGAUUCCCUCUCUCCCAUCUUCAUCAUACGAUCCCUGAUUUUCACGGGAUCGAUCCGGACUGAAUCUGUAUUUCUCAGAUCAAUCGGAUCCAAUGGACGAGUUUGGUGUUCUUACGGAGCGCUAUGGGAUCAAGCCCCAAGGCAAAUCUGCUCCAAUGGCUGCCUCCAAGCGUUCUCACAACACUUCCGAUUGGAAAUCGUACGCUUCUUCUUCCAAUAAGGUAUCUGGUAACGGUGACGACAUUUUCUUCACCUCGAGCUCGACUACUACUACCAUGAACGGCGCGAGUUCUGGUGGCUUCGAUGUUUUCGGUGGGAUGAACAAUAAGAAUAGCAAGUCGUCAUCUUCAGCGCAUGCUGAUGACUUGUUUGGUGCUAUGCCCACCGCUCCCAAUAAUGAUGAUGAUAUUUUUGGAUCAUUCUCUUCCUCUACCAAUCAAUACCCUCCCGUUGAUGAUUUGUUGGCUGGAUUUGGUGCUCUUAAAUCCCAGACCUUCAACCUCAACAAUUCAUCCGCUUCUGAUGAAUUGAUUCCUGGUUUUGGUUUUGGUACUUCUCACAGGUUUGUAUGAGAUUCUCAUCUUUGGGAUGUGCUAAUCUCUUGUGAUUUGGUAUUUUGGAAUUUUAGAUCACCUUUG